rnacentral:lncRNA from 1 species
GGGACUGUGCCGUCUAUGCUUUCCACACGGGUAAACCUUCAAUUUUCCUGUUCAUUAAGCUUAUCAAACUGCACACGUCCUCGUUUAGACAAUGUAUAUUAACAUGAUCGCGAUACAGGAUCGCUUUCUCGACUGGCAAGAGAAGGAAGUCAUAAAGUAACUUUAGCCACUCUUGAAUGUGAAGUAUUUACAAUCUCCCCUAUACACGUAAGUAAACAUGCUAACUUUAUCAAGAAAAUUGAGUUGUGGUCUCAUAGUACUUACUAUGUAACUUCCAUAUGAACAGGCUGUGAGCAAAACGCUCGAUUUUGAUCCAAUUGGAUUGAUCGAUAUGUUCAACUCUGGAGGUGCAACGGAAGGCUUAAGUUUUAG